rnacentral:rRNA from 1 species
GCAGUCGAGCGGUAGCACAGAGAGCUUGCUCUCGGGUGACGAGCGGCGGACGGGUGAGUAAUGUCUGGGAAACUGCCUGAUGGAGGGGGAUAACUACUGGAAACGGUAGCUAAUACCGCAUAAUGUCGCAAGACCAAAGUGGGGGACCUUCGGGCCUCAUGCCAUCAGAUGUGCCCAGAUGGGAUUAGCUAGUAGGUGGGGUAACGGCUCACCUAGGCGACGAUCCCUAGCUGGUCUGAGAGGAUGACCAGCCACACUGGAACUGAGACACGGUCCAGACUCCUACGGGAGGCAGCAGUGGGGAAUAUUGCACAAUGGGCGCAAGCCUGAUGCAGCCAUGCCGCGUGUGUGAAGAAGGCCUUCGGGUUGUAAAGCACUUUCAGCGGGGAGGAAGGCGAUAAGGUUAAUAACCUUGUCGAUUGACGUUACCCGCAGAAGAAGCACCGGCUAACUCCGUGCCAGCAGCCGCGGUAAUACGGAGGGUGCAAGCGUUAAUCGGAAUUACUGGGCGUAAAGCGCACGCAGGCGGUCUGUCAAGUCGGAUGUGAAAUCCCCGGGCUUAACCUGGGAACUGCAUUCGAAACUGGCAGGCUAGAGUCUUGUAGAGGGGGGUAGAAUUCCAGGUGUAGCGGUGAAAUGCGUAGAGAUCUGGAGGAAUACCGGUGGCGAAGGCGGCCCCCUGGACAAAGACUGACGCUCAGGUGCGAAAGCGUGGGGAGCAAACAGGAUUAGAUACCCUGGUAGUCCACGCCGUAAACGAUGUCGAUUUGGAGGUUGUGCCCUUGAGGCGUGGCUUCCGGAGCUAACGCGUUAAAUCGACCGCCUGGGGAGUACGGCCGCAAGGUUAAAACUCAAAUGAAUUGACGGGGGCCCGCACAAGCGGUGGAGCAUGUGGUUUAAUUCGAUGCAACGCGAAGAACCUUACCUGGUCUUGACAUCCACAGAACUUUCCAGAGAUGGAUUGGUGCCUUCGGGAACUGUGAGACAGGUGCUGCAUGGCUGUCGUCAGCUCGUGUUGUGAAAUGUUGGGUUAAGUCCCGCAACGAGCGCAACCCUUAUCCUUUGUUGCCAGCGGUCCGGCCGGGAACUCAAAGGAGACUGCCAGUGAUAAACUGGAGGAAGGUGGGGAUGACGUCAAGUCAUCAUGGCCCUUACGACCAGGGCUACACACGUGCUACAAUGGCAUAUACAAAGAGAAGCGACCUCGCGAGAGCAAGCGGACCUCAUAAAGUAUGUCGUAGUCCGGAUUGGAGUCUGCAACUCGACUCCAUGAAGUCGGAAUCGCUAGUAAUCGUAGAUCAGAAUGCUACGGUGAAUACGUUCCCGGGCCUUGUACACACCGCCCGUCACACCAUGGGAGUGGGUUGCAAAAGAAGUAGGUAGCUUAACCUUCGGGAGGGCGCU